AAUAGAUACCCCGGUAGUCCAUGCCGUAAACGUUGGGAACUAGAUGUAGGGCCUGUUCCACGGGUUCUGUGUCGUAGCUAACGCAUUAAGUUCCCCGCCUGGGGAGUACGGCCGCAAGGCUAAAACUCAAAGGAAUUGACGGGGGCCCGCACAAGCGGCGGAGCAUGCGGAUUAAUUCGAUGCAACGCGAAGAACCUUACCAAGGCUUGACAUAUAGAAGAACACUGCAGAGAUGCAGGACUCUUUGGACACUUCUAUACAGGUGGUGCAUGGUUGUCGUCAGCUCGUGUCGUGAGAUGUUCGGUUAAGUCCGGCAACGAGCGCAACCCCCGUCCUAUGUUGCCAGCACGUAAUGGUGGGAACUCAUGGGAUACUGCCGUGGUCAACACGGAGGAAGGUGGGGAUGACGUCAAAUCAUCAUGCCCCUUAUGUCUUGGGCUUCACGCAUGCUACAAUGGCCGGUACAAAGGGCUGCGAUACCGCAAGGUGGAGCGAAUCCCGAAAAAGCCGGUCUCAGUUCGGAUUGGGGUCUG
rnacentral:rRNA from 1 species